GGACCCGUGGCCUAACCUGGAUAGGGCGAUAGCCUCCUAAGCUGUAGGUUGUGAGUUCAAAUCUCACCGGGUCCG
rnacentral:tRNA from 1 species